rnacentral:rRNA from 1 species
UUCUAUGGAGAGUUUGAUCCUGGCUCAGGACGAACGCUGGCGGCGUGCUUAACACAUGCAAGUCGAGCGAUGAAGUUCCUUCGGGAAUGGAAUAGCGGCGAACGGGUGAGGAACACGUGAGGAAUCUACCUUCUACUCUGGGAUAACUCCGGGAAACCGGGGCUAAUACCGGA